rnacentral:tRNA from 1 species
GCUCUGGUAGCUUAAACACAAAGCACUGGCCUUGUAAGCCAGAAAUGGAAAACCUUUCCCCAGAACA